GCGCAACCCCACCUCUCCAUUCCCUGUGGUUCGCCGCACCGGCGUCCGUCGCCGGCGCCGGUAGUGGCUUAUACCUAAACACCACCACCAUUGGAUGCGUGAUAUCAAGCUGAGCAUGAAUAUGACAAUGGAAUUAUGAAACAACUCUUGUACCGGUUGAAUCGAACCGCUGAACAGAAGAACCCUAACGGUCUACAAGUCAAAUUAAAUAGCGUUCGGUGGAGAUCAAUCCCUAAUACUAUGGGGGUUCCACUCCCUAACCUAGAUGCUACGUCUUGGUGAGCUCAGAACAAGAAAACGAUACUGAAUGAUAAAUGACAUACCGGAGAAGAUGAUCGGAGAAUCCACCGGUGCAGGUUGAUGGAUAUUUGAUGUGGAUGCGGUUUGUGGUGCUUUGCUAGGCCUAAUAUGGUACUGGUUUGAGUUAAUCGGAUUGUGGUUCGAAGCAAUUCGGCUAAUGUUUCCUUUAGUCACGAAGUUACAAGGUGGUAUUCCUGGUUCGAUUAGGAAUGAUUUUUUCUUGCAGUAGUUUGAUUUGCAAGAAACAGAAUGACUACAAAGCCAAGCAGAGCUAUUAGGCUGCGCAACACCCGUUCCAUUGAUGACAAUGCACCUUGAAAGGUAAGCAAAACAUGGUCUGUACUAUAAAAUGUGUUUGCAUAUAUGGUCAUCAGCCUAUCAUUUACCAAAUGAAGGCCACGGAAGACACAUAAGAUGGCCAAAAAAGUGAUUAUGACACAAUGCAUCCCUAUAAAUGUUUUACGGUCCCUGAUGCCGCUAUGCAAUGGAGGAAUGAAGGUAAAAGUUGUGAGGCGCAAGAGUUGCUCCAAGAAGACUCAUAAGCAUAAAUGUAGUCCACUCAACUUUAUUAUUAUUCCUUUCAUAGAAAGUGGAACUUCUGAUUGAUUGAUGAGUAGUCCAAGUAUAAAAGAUAACAAUACAAAGCCUGCCACAAACUCUCCUCGGUAUUUUAUCUUCUCAAUGUCAAGGAGAAGUAUAUUAAAAACAGCACCAGUGGUAGUUAAAAAGAUACAGGUGAACAAGUCCCACCCAAAAAUAAGAUUUAAUUCUUGUGCUAUUCCCAAGACCAUGUUAAGAUCUAGCACAAUCACUGAAAGUUCAGUUUGAAUUCCAAGGAAAAGGCAUGUCCAUCUAUCAUACUCGUCACUGCAAAUCUGAGCCAGAUCUCUUCCAGUGAUCACAUCAACCCGGAAAGAUAAGUACUGACAGACGAUAGCUGCAAAAUUAAAAACAAGCGUGAAAGCCACCAGAUCAGAACCGAGCCUUGCACCGCCUUCAAUACUUGCCUGCUGAAAUGGAUUCGAACUGUUAAGUUAUGUUGGUGCUGGAUUUGGAUGUUAGGCUGUUAGGAAUUUUGAUUAUAGUUGUAACAAUUUUUCACUCUGCUUGUGUUGACUUUGUAUUUGAUGGCUUACAGAAUCAUAAAAUGAAGAACAUGUUUGAGAUUUGUGGUUUGGUUUUUUUGUGUGGUUUA